UACGUAGGGGCCUAGCGUUGUCCGGAUUUAUUGGGCGUAAAGAGCUCGUAGGCGGUUCGGCAAGUCGGAUGUGAAAUCUCCACGCUCAACGUGGAGGGGCCAUUCGAAACUGCCGUGACUCGAGUCCGGUAGGGGAGUGUGGAAUUCCCGGUGUAGCGGUGAAAUGCGUAGAUAUCGAGAGGAACACCUGCGGCGAAGGCGGGUUGCUGGGCUGAUACUGACGCUGAGGCGCGAAAGCCAGGGGAGCGAACGGG
rnacentral:rRNA from 1 species